UUUUUGGUGAAUUCUUUGGACAAUUGUCAAUUGCCCACAGAAAUUAUCAGGAAUUGCGGAAAGAGAUAUCCAGCUUAUAGGCAGAGUCAGCAGCAUACGUGGCGAUUUUCGGG